rnacentral:rRNA from 1 species
CCUACGUGUGGCAGCAGUGAGGAAUAUUGGUCAAUGGGCGCGAGCCUGAACCAGCCAAGUAGCGUGAAGGAUGACUGCCUUACGGGUUGUAAAUUCUUUUUAUAAAGGAAUAAAGUGAGGCAUGUGUGCCCUAUUGGAUGUCCUUUAUGAACAAGGAACGGCUAACCUCGCGCCAGCAGCCGCGGUAAUAUGGGGGAUCCGAGCGUUAUCCGGAUUUAGUGGGUUUAAAGGGAGCGUCGACGGGUUGUUAAGUCAGUUGUGAAAGUCGGCGGCUCAACCGGAGAAUUGCAGUUGAUAUUGGCGGUCUUGAGUACAGUUGAGGUAGGCGGAAUGCGUGGUGUAGCGGUGAAAUGCUUAGAGAUGACGAAGAACUCCGAUGGCGAAGGCAGCUUACUAAGCUGCCACUGACGUUGAUGCGCGAAAGUGUGGGUAUCAAACAGGAUUAGAUACCCGGGUAGUC